AUACGGAGGAUCCGAGCGUUAUCCGGAUUUAUUGGGUUUAAAGGGAGCGUAGGUGGAUUGUUAAGUCAGUUGUGAAAGUUUGCGGCUCAACCGUAAAAUUGCAGUUGAAACUGGCAGUCUUGAGUACAGUAGAGGUGGGCGGAAUUCGUGGUGUAGCGGUGAAAUGCUUAGACAUCACGAAGAACUCCGAUUGCGAAGGCAGCUCACUAGACUGUCACUGACACUGAUGCUCGAAAGUGUGGGUAUCAAACAGGAUUAGAUACCCUGGUAGUCCACACAGUAAACGAUGAAUACUCGCUGUUUGCGAUAUACAGUAAGCGGCCAAGCGAAAGCAUUAAGUAUUCCACCUGGGGAGUACGCCGGCAACGGUGAAACUUAAAGGAAUUGACGGGG
rnacentral:rRNA from 1 species